CAGUCGCCGCGGGAAUACGUAGGGUGCAAGCGUUAAUCGGAAUUACUGGGCGUAAAGCGUGCGCAGGCGGUUUGUUAAGACAGAUGUGAAAUCCCCGGGCUCAACCUGGGAACUGCAUUUGUGACUGGCAAGCUAGAGUAUGGCAGAGGGGGGUGGAAUUCCGCGUGUAGCAGUGAAAUGCGUAGAUAUGCGGAGGAACACCGAUGGCGAAGGCAGCCCCCUGGGCCAAUACUGACGCUCAUGCACGAAAGCGUGGGGAGCAAACAGGAUUAGAUACCCCCGUAGUCCCUGUCUCUUAUAC
rnacentral:rRNA from 1 species